rnacentral:rRNA from 1 species
GACGAACGCUGGCGGCGUGCUUAACACAUGCAAGUCGAACGGAAAGGCCCUGCUUGCAGGGUACUCGAGUGGCGAACGGGUGAGUAACACGUGGGUGAUCUGCCCUGCACUUCGGGAUAAGCCUGGGAAACUGGGUCUAAUACCGGGUAGGGGCCAUCUUUAGUGAGAUGGUUGGAAAGUUUUUUCGGUGUAGGAUGAGCUCGCGGCCUAUCAGCUUGUUGGUGGGGUAAUGGCCUACCAAGGCGGCGACGGGUAGCCGGCCUGAGAGGGUGGACGGCCACAUUGGGACUGAGAUACGGCCCAGACUCCUACGGGAGGCAGCAGUGGGGAAUAUUGCACAAUGGGCGGAAGCCUGAUGCAGCGACGCCGCGUGGGGGAUGACGGCCUUCGGGUUGUAAACUCCUUUCGCUAGGGACGAAGCUUUUGUGACGGUACCUAGAGAAGAAGCACCGGCUAACUACGUG